GUGCUUGCUUUGGCGGCACAUGCACUGAAGUUUGAAGGUUAAGGAGAAGAUAGCCUAGCCCCUGCUCGAGGGUAACAUGAAAGUUCAUCAAAUGUUCCACAUUUUU
ensembl:snRNA U6 U6 spliceosomal RNA